rnacentral:rRNA from 1 species
GACGAACGCUGGCGGCGUGCUUAACACAUGCAAGUCGAACGGUGAACGAGGGAGCUUGCUCCCUCCGGAUCAGUGGCGAACGGGUGAGUAACACGUGAGCAAUCUGCCCCGAACUCUGGGAUAAGCGUUGGAAACGACGUCUAAUACCGGAUACGACGCGGGAGGGCAUCCUCUCCGCGUGGAAAGAACUUCGGUUCGGGAUGAGCUCGCGGCCUAUCAGCUUGUUGGUGAGGUAACGGCUCACCAAGGCGACGACGGGUAGCCGGCCUGAGAGGGUGACCGGCCACACUGGGACUGAGACACGGCCCAGACUCCUACGGGAGGCAGCAGUGGGGAAUAUUGCACAAUGGGCGCAAGCCCGAUGCAGCAACGCCGCGUGAGGGACGACGGCCUUCGGGUUGUAAACCUCUUUUAGCAGGGAAGAAGCGAAAGUGACGGUACCUGCAGAAAAAGCACCGGCUAACUACGUG